rnacentral:rRNA from 1 species
UGGGGAAUAUUGGACAAUGGGCGAAAGCCUGAUCCAGCCAUGCCGCGUGUGUGAAGAAGGUCUUCGGAUUGUAAAGCACUUUAAGUUGGGAGGAAGGGCAUUAACCUAAUACGUUAGUGUUUUGACGUUACCGACAGAAUAAGCACCGGCUAACUCUGUGCCAGCAGCCGCGGUAAUACAGAGGGAGCAAGCGUUAAUCGGAAUUACUGGGCGUAAAGCGCGCGUAGGUGGUUUGUUAAGUUGGAUGUGAAAUCCCCGGGCUCAACCUGGGAACUGCAUUCAAAACUGACUGACUAGAGUAUGGUAGAGGGUGGUGGAAUUUCCUGUGUAGCGGUGAAAUGCGUAGAUAUAGGAAGGAACACCAGUGGCGAAGGCGACCACCUGGACUAAUACUGACACUGAGGUGCGAAAGCGUGGGGAGCAAACA